CUAUCUCUGGUAUACAUAUACAUAUAUAAAGAGCAAAGUGCUUUUAUGUUCGUUCGGUUAUAACUCAAAAACUACUGCGCCGAUUUAAAUUAGACUCAAAUCAUUCGAUAGAGAAUAUUCCAAAGAUGGUUUAACCAAAUUAGCACCUAUUUACUAUUUUAAGUUGCCAAGCAAUGAAAGAGAGCACCAAAAGAUUCAGAACGAAUAAACUACUGCUUCACUGGUAACAGUGAAGUUGGUAUGACAGUGAAAGAUGACCCGAACAGAUCAAUCGUCAUUCUUCGGCUGUAUUCGGAAUAAGUUCGAGCGCCGUAUGCAAUAAGUGGGGAGCAUAAGGCUCACGUCUUACAACAAGCAAGGUAAUUAUUUCUCCAAACAAUUAUUACUCAUCUUCUUUUCGUUUUGACUUAUUUGUUGCAAUAUUAACAUCAAUCAGUUACUAAGGACAUACAUCCGGGUAAGGAUCGAGUAUAUCAGCUAGUUAUAAUGCUACUGUGACAUUAUUCAUCAAUUCACGAUUACUAUUCUUAAUCAAUUUCAACUCCAAAUACAUAAACUUUGAUUCGAAUUAGCGAUCUCACAACAUUGAUUUGUAUUCAUGAGUUAUUCUCUAAUAAUAUGAUAUGAUAUUAUGUCAGUUUCAUUAGGUUGUUUUGAAAUGUUAUAUAUAUUUACCAAUUUCUGCAUUGGGAUGAAGUCCAUACAGAACAGGACUUUCAGCAGUGCCUUCUAGCUCCAUCUCGUCGUAAAUUAUUGAAGCUAUCGAUGGUGUCGAAAAAUAUUUCAAACAAAAGUCCAACAAUUUCGAGGGGUAUAUAAUUUGAUGUAAUUUUUUCACGAAUGGAUAACUGGAGGAUUUCUGAAUGAUAAUAUUACAUUUUUAUAUGGAAUUAUAUAUUUUUUAUUUUAUUAUUUCACAUUAAUCGGUGUAGUCCUGAAAAGGCAAAGGAAAUAAUAGAAUAAAAUUCAUACUCUGAAAUGGCUAUUUUGGAGAUAUUUUGAUUUUGAUAUGUAUUGCAAAGCGAUAUAACAUCAACAAUUUUGAAAAUAUUUGUGAACCACCGUAUAUUAAUACUUUAUGAAAUUGUACAAGUGUACAAAUUUGCGAAAACAUGAGUCGGAGGACAAUUCAUAUAAUGUUGUUGUUUUUCCUCGGAGUAUCAAGACCAUUAGAUUACAAGUAAUGUAAGAACAAAUAAACUCCGGGCAAAACAAUGUCGCCGCUACAUGCAACCGUCCAAUCAAGAUGAAUUUGAAUUUUCCGACUCUCCCCCGACCAGUAUAAAUAAACAGACGCGAUCGCGAGCGACGGUACAUAACGAGUACAUAGUGGGUUCAUAUAUAAUACAUAUCGAACAGUUAACAGCAUCUUGAGUAUCCUCGAGUACCUAACGAGCGUCUAUCAAGUCACCCGACGAGCAUUUGCCAGUAUUUAUUCCGCGACUUUAUUUUGCGAUUUAUACUUUGUACGAACGACUAACGUCUACGUUUGUAUAUUAAUUUAUUGUCUUAAAUAUAUUAACGGUUACAACAACAAGUAAUCUCGUCAUUAAUCCUCACAACCUACGUCCUCUUCGCACAAACAUCUACAGAUAUAAUGUUGUAAUAAUUUAAAAAACGUAUUUGAUAUGUACUUGUACUAAUUCAAGAAUAAUAAAAGAAGUCUUAUCAUUAAUCUUAUUUGUGUUUGAUGUGAAAAAAUAGAAUAUUUAAGGAAACAUUGGUGUGUGCAAAAAUGAGAUUGAUAUAAUGCGAGGUAAUAGUCGUGUUAUAGCAAAACAUAUCUUUUUCUCGAUGCUUAGAUUAUAGAUUCUUAAAGGUUGAUUGUUAAGAAAAAUAAAAUAGA